GGGUGACUGCGUACCUUUUGUAUAAUGGGUCAGCGACUUAUAUUCUGUAGCAAGGUUAACCGUAUAGGGGAGCCGCAGGGAAACCGAGUCUUAACUGGGCGUUAAGUUGCAGGGUAUAGACCCGAAACCCGGUGAUCUAGCCAUGGGCAGGUUGAAGGUUGGGUAACACUAACUGGAGGACCGAACCGACUAAUGUUGAAAAAUUAGCGGAUGACUUGUGGCUGGGGGUGAAAGGCCAAUCAAACCGGGAGAUAGCUGGUUCUCCCCGAAAGCUAUUUAGGUAGCGCCUCGUGAAUUCAUCUUCGGGGGUAGAGCACUGUUUCGGCUAGGGGGUCAUCCCGACUUACCAACCCGAUGCAAACUACGAAUACCGAAGAAUGUUAUCACGGGAGACACACGGCGGGUGCUAACGUCCGUCGUGAAGAGGGAAACAACCCAGACCGCCAGCUAAGGUCCCAAAGUCAUGGUUAAGUGGGAAACGAUGUGGGAAGGCCCAGACAGCCAGGAUGUUGGCUUAGAAGCAGCCAUCAUUUAAAGAAAGCGUAAUAGCUCACUGGUCGAGUCGGCCUGCGCGGAAGAUGUAACGGGGCUAAACCAUGCACCGAAGCUGCGGCAGCGACACUAUGUGUUGUUGGGUAGGGGAGCGUUCUGUAAGCCGUUGAAGGUGGCCUGUGAGGGUUGCUGGAGGUAUCAGAAGUGCGAAUGCUGACAUAAGUAACGAUAAUGCGGGUGAAAAACCCGCACGCCGGAAGACCAAGGGUUCCUGUCCAACGUUAAUCGGGGCAGGGUGAGUCGACCCCUAAGGCGAGGCCGAAAGGCGUAGUCGAUGGGAAACAGGUUAAUAUUCCUGUACUUGGUGUUACUGCGAAGGGGGGACGGAGAAGGCUAUGUUGGCCGGGCGACGGUUGUCCCGGUUUAAGCAUGUAGGCGGAUGUUCCAGGUAAAUCCGGAGCGUCACUAACGCUGAGGUGUGAUGACGAGGCACUACGGUGCUGAAGUGACAAAUGCCCUGCUUCCAGGAAAAGCCUCUAAGCAUCAGGUAACAUCAAAUCGUACCCCAAACCGACACAGGUGGUCAGGUAGAGAAUACCAAGGCGCUUGAGAGAACUCGGGUGAAGGAACUAGGCAAAAUGGUGCCGUAACUUCGGGAGAAGGCACGCUGAUGGUAGGUGAAGUGACUUGCUCAUGGAGCUGAAAUCAGUCGAAGAUACCAGCUGGCUGCAACUGUUUAUUAAAAACACAGCACUGUGCAAACACGAAAGUGGACGUAUACGGUGUGACGCCUGCCCGGUGCCGGAAGGUUAAUUGAUGGGGUUAUCCUCGCGGAGAAGCUCUUGAUCGAAGCCCCGGUAAACGGCGGCCGUAACUAUAACGGUCCUAAGGUAGCGAAAUUCCUUGUCGGGUAAGUUCCGACCUGCACGAAUGGCGUAAUGAUGGCCAGGCUGUCUCCACCCGAGACUCAGUGAAAUUGAACUCGCUGUGAAGAUGCAGUGUACCCGCGGCAAGACGGAAAGACCCCGUGAACCUUUACUAUAGCUUGACACUGAACACUGGUCCUUGAUGUGUAGGAUAGGUGGGAGGCUUUGAAGUGUGGACGCCAGUCUGCAUGGAGCCAUCCUUGAAAUACCACCCUUUAAUGGCUGGUGUUCUAACGUGGGCCCGUGAUCCGGGUUGCGGACAGUGUCUGGUGGGUAGUUUGACUGGGGCGGUCUCCUCCUAAAGAGUAACGGAGGAGCACGAAGGUCAGCUAAUCCUGGUCGGACAUCAGGAGGUUAGUGCAAUGGCAUAAGCUGGCUUGACUGCGAGCGUGACGGCGCGAGCAGGUGCGAAAGCAGGUCAUAGUGAUCCGGUGGUUCUGAAUGGAAGGGCCAUCGCUCAACGGAUAAAAGGUACUCCGGGGAUAACAGGCUGAUACCGCCCAAGAGUUCAUAUCGACGGCGGUGUUUGGCACCUCGAUGUCGGCUCAUCACAUCCUGGGGCUGAAGUAGGUCCCAAGG
rnacentral:rRNA from 1 species